UUUAUGUAUAGUGAACACAAAAGGACCCAAAAUAGAUCCUUGACUGUCUGCUUUGUGAUGAUACUGUAAGCUACAAUUCAUUUGACAAAAGUUAAACCAUUUGCAAAUGAAUUCAUCAAGAAAACAACAUCUGAAGGCAGAUUCAAAGUUUGGAGUCAUGUAGUUAGUUAGAGUUACCAUUUCUAUUCUUUCUAUGUGGUGAUGUGGUGUGGUAGUAAUAUCCAUAAAAUAAUAGCACACAUUUGAUUAACCAUCAUUGGGAGUUAAAAAAAAAAAAAAUCUCAGUUGCAGCUGCUGAUUUUCUCCUCUGUGCCGAUGAAACCUGUCACUGUUUUGUACUCCCCCUAGAAAUUGUCUCAGAAAAUGAAAAUCACAGUCCUGUUGUGCAGUAGCUGUAGCUGGAUUUAACAUCAGUGUCAGGUUCCCUCGUCCCAGCAGCACAGUCUGGUGAGUUUCUGCAGUUCUGGCCAUUUUCUUCUACUUGCACAGCAACUGCAGUACAGCUGACGUAAGAAUGAUCUGUAUCCACUUUGAGCAGCAAUGUUCAAUGUUUAUUUUUCUGACUCCACACCAAUAACGACCUUUAACAUUUCUGCUCGUCUUGUGCACCUCUUUAAAAUUUAAUUCUGGGUAUGAAAUAAAGAGACAAAAAGCAUGUGUGAGGUAGAAAGGCUUUAUGGAAAUUCUUGACAGAUUGCAUCACCCCACUGUGCAUGUUGAUAUAUGCAUGGUGCCUUGAUGAAAGCUCAGCAUGAGUGUGUCUGUUUGUCCUAGAAGACAGUCUCUGCGUGUUGCACAUCUGGAUGCAUUUUGCAUGUUUAUGAUGCGUCACAUUCAUUUAUGCAGUGUGAGUUUUGCAUCGUCGUGUUUACAUGUAGCCUUUGUUAAGCUUUGCCAGCCUCUGUCCCUCUGUAAUAAGGCCUGAUUUAAGGUUGACCAGAGCACACCGGGAAUAGAGUCUCGUCCCUCAUUUCCUCUGCAGCCAGUGGAGAUGAGAUCUCUUCACAAUAUUUACCCAGGGAAUAAUGAUGUUUGAUUUGAGUCUCUUGUGGGUGUGUCUGUGCGAGGGCUAUUUCCAUCCACUGCUGCCACUGAGAGAGAAAACAGACAGACGCUGUGUCCACGGGAAAAAAAAAGAGCCUCAGAUCAUUGUUUAUGGAUGAUGCUAGAUGUUCCUGACCAACUCAGGUUGGAUUCAGCGUGGGUUCACUGUAUGCACUCAACAUUAAUGGGAAAAGUUGUUAGAACGGUGCUGCUUUUGAAUGAAAAACUGCAUGUAUGGAGAUAAGAAAACAGUUUCUGCCCAGCCCCCCACCGGUCACUUGGACCCUUGAGGCCUGAUAACUGUUCUGUAAUGCAGCCACAACGGGUGUCUGUGGAGUGGAGAGUAUGAUGUGACCGCUGCAGCGCUGUGUCCGCGGGUAAUGGAGCAGAGAGCCAUCUGUCCGUCUGGCUGGCCAUCCGUUUGCAUCAUCCGAUCCUAUCUGCGUCUCACCUGCUAAUGAAAAGCUAGCAGGUCCCGCACCUCCUCUCCAACGGCCUCCUCUACUGUAAGUGGGAGAAGCCAACUGCGGGAGGCCUCUGCUAACCACAUGCUAUCACAGCUCGGCCUUCCAGCCUCCAACCGCGACAUGCUUACACUCAUCCACUCCACAGGGGAAGUGUUGAGCCUCGCUCGCCAAUGUGAGAAUCAAUCCAUCCAUCGACUUAUGCAGGAUCAGGUCAGGCUAAGCAGGCAAUUCCAGGCAUCCUUUUCCAGUUCCAGCUCCAGUGUCAAAGGCAAGUUAAAAACUAUUUUGUGACUUGAAGUUGGUCUUAUGGUGUAAAGUAUAGCUUAUGUAAUCCAUAGAUAAUUCCAUUUUUUAAAAAAGCUAGAUAAUUUCCUAAAACAACUGGGCAUUUGGGCUUUUAUCAAAUGUAUGUAAGUAAUACAUUUGUUGGGAACUAUUUUAAACUGUGGAUUUAUACUGUACAUUGUAUAAUAAUGGAACUCUUUACUUACAUGUUUUAUAUUUGGCAAAACUUAAUAAUAUUAAUACCUGUCCUUUGGUCAUGGAGUCUGCUGAGAGAUGUAAUCUUAAAGAGUUAAGUAAAGGUAGCUACUCUAAUGACUAUAAUGAAGUUGAAGGACAGUCUUUUUAUUUGUGCUUUGGAAUCAGCAAUGUGACUGUAUUUAUUCAGCUAUCUACAUAGUAAUACUGUUGAGGCUUAAGUGUAAAUCCACUGCAGUGAAAACUAUACUGAAGUAUACACAAUGGAGAAACUGACAUAUUCCCAAGAUAUAUUUCAUAUAUAUAGAUA